UACAGAGGGUGCGAGCGUUAAUCGGAAUUACUGGGCGUAAAGGGCUCGUAGGCGGCCAACUAAGUCAGACGUGAAAUCCCUCGGCUUAACCGGGGAACUGCAUCUGAUACUGGAUGGCUUGAGUUCGGGAGAGGGAUGCGGAAUUCCAGGUGUAGCGGUGAAAUGCGUAGAUAUCUGGAGGAACACCGGUGGCGAAGGCGGCAUCCUGGACCGACACUGACGCUGAGGAGCGAAAGCCAGGGGAGCAAACGGG
rnacentral:rRNA from 1 species